UACAGAGGUCUCAAGCGUUGUUCGGAUUCAUUGGGCGUAAAGGGUGCGUAGGCGGCAGGGUAAGUCUGGUGUGAAAUCCCGGGGCUCAACCCCGGAACUGCACUGGAUACUGCUUUGCUAGAGUACUGGAGAGGGAACUGGAAUUUACAGUGUAGCAGUGAAAUGCGUAGAUAUCGUAAGGAAGACCAGUGGCGAAGGCGAGUUCCUGGACAGUAACUGACGCUGAGGCACGAAGGCCAGGGGAGCAAACGGG
rnacentral:rRNA from 1 species